rnacentral:rRNA from 1 species
AAAUGAAUUGACGGGGACCCGCACAAGCGGUGGAGCAUGUGGUUUAAUUCGAAGCAACGCGAAGAACCUUACCAGGUCUUGACAUCCUUCUGACAGUAUCCUGUAAUGGGAUAUUUCCUUCGGGACAGAAGAGACAGGUGGUGCAUGGUUGUCGUCAGCUCGUGUCGUGAGAUGUUGGGUUAAGUCCCGCAACGAGCGCAACCCUUAUCUUAUGUAGCCAGCAUUUCGGAUGGGCACUCAUGAGAGACUGCCAGGGUGAACCUGGAGGAAGGUGGGGAUGACGUCAAAUCAUCAUGCCCCUUAUGACCUGGGCUACACACGUGCUACAAUGGCGUAAACAGAGGGAAGCGAAGUCCUAAGGCCAAGCAAAUCCCAAAAAUAACGUCCCAGUUCGGACUGUGGUCUGCAACCCGACCACACGAAGCUGGAAUCGCUAGUAAUCGCAGAUCAGAAUGCUGCGGUGAAUACGUUCCCGGGUCUUGUACACACCGCCCGU